UACGGAGGGUGCAAGCGUUAAUCGGAAUUACUGGGCGUAAAGCGUGCGCAGGCGGUUUGUUAAGUCUGCUGUGAAAUCCCCGAGCUCAACUUGGGAAUUGCAGUGGAUACUGGCAAGCUGGAGUACGGUAGAGGAAGGUGGAAUUCCCGGUGUAGCAGUGAAAUGCGUAGAGAUCGGGAGGAACACCAGUGGCGAAGGCG
rnacentral:rRNA from 1 species